rnacentral:rRNA from 1 species
GGGGGGGGGGGGGGGGGGGCGGGGCGGGGGGGGGGCGGGGGGAGGGGCCCUGGUUGCAGGGUGCUCGAGGGGCGAACGGGUGGGUAACGCGUGGGUGGUGUGCCGCUUACUGGGGGAUAAGCCUGGGAAACUGGGUCGAGUACUGGAUAGGAACCGGCUGUAGGUGGUUGGGUGGAAAGGUUAGUUUCGGUGAGGGAUGAGCUGGCGGCCUAUCCGCUUGUUGGUGGGGUAAUGGCCUACCAAGGCGUCGACGGGUAGCCGGCCUGAGAGGGUGGACGGCCACAUUGGGACUGAGAUACGGACCAGACUCCUACGGGAGGCAGCAGUGGGGAAUAUUGCACAAUGGGCGCAAGCCUGAUGCAGCGACGCCGCGUGGGGGAUGACGGCCUUCGGGUUGUAAACUCCUUUCAGCCAUGACGAAGCCCUUGUGGUGACGGUAGUGGUAGAAGAAGCACCGGCUAACUACGUG